GGUGUUUACUGUCGAACUGAACACUCUACCGUUUACUGUCCGGUGGUGCUCUUCACCGAGUGUCACCAGUGGUCGGUACGUUUACUUUGAAAAAAUUAGAGUGCUCAAAGCGGUUUUUACACGACCGAAUACUGUUGCAUGGAAUAAUGAAAUAGGACUUUGGUUCUAUUUUGUUGGUCUUCGGAACCAAGGUAAUGAUUAAGAGGGACAGACGGGGGCAUUAGUAUUGCGACGCUAGAGGUGAAAUUCUUGGACCGUCGCAAGACUAACUAAAGCGAAAGCAUUUGCCAAGAAUGUUUUCAUUAAUCAAGAACGAAAGUUAGAGGUUUGAAGGCGAUCAGAUACCGCCCUAGUUCUAACCAUAAACGAUGCCAACCAGCAAUCAGCCUGUGUUCUCUUGAUGACACGGCUGGCGGCUUCCGGGAAACCAAAGUCUUUCGGUUCCAGGGGAAGUAUGGUUGCAAAGCUGAAACUUAAAGGAAUUGACGGAAGGGCACCACCAGGAGUGGAGCCUGCGGCUUAAUUUGACUCAACACGGGGAAACUCACCCGGCCCGGACACUGUGAGGAUUGACAGGUUGAAGCCCUUUCUUGAUUCAGUGGGUGGUGGUGCAUGGCCGUUCUUAGUUGGUGGAGUGAUUUGUCUGGUUAAUUCCGAUAACGAACGAGACUCUAGCCUACUAAUUAGACCGUGGCGUCCUCGUGCCGCCACGGCGCUUCCUAGAGGGACAGACGG
rnacentral:rRNA from 1 species